GGAGAGAUGGCUGAGUUGGUCGAAGGCGCACGACUGGAAAUCGUGUAGACGGUUUGACCCCGUCUCGAGGGUUCGAAUCCCUCUCUCUCCGCCA
rnacentral:tRNA from 1 species